rnacentral:rRNA from 1 species
AGGACGAACGCUGGCGGCGUGCUUAACACAUGCAAGUCGAGCGAGGCUCCUCCUUCGGGAGGAAGCCCUAGCGGCGAACGGGUGAGUAACACGUGGGCAACCUGCCCCUAGCACUGGGAUAACCCCGGGAAACCGGGGCUAAUACCGGAUACGACUUCGGAAGGCAUCUUCUGAAGUGGAAAAGGUUACUGGCUAGGGAUGGGCCCGCGGCCUAUCAGCUUGUUGGUGGGGUAAUGGCCCACCAAGGCGACGACGGGUAGCCGGCCUGAGAGGGCGACCGGCCACACUGGGACUGAGACACGGCCCAGACUCCUACGGGAGGCAGCAGUGGGGAAUAUUGCACAAUGGGCGAAAGCCUGAUGCAGCGACGCCGCGUGAGGGAUGACGGCCUUCGGGUUGUAAACCUCUUCAGCAGGGACGAAGCGAAAGUGACGGUACCUGCAGAAGAAGCACCGGCCAACUACGUGCCAGCAGCCGC